ACUCCUACGGGAGGCAGCAGUGGGGAAUAUUGGACAAUGGGGGCAACCCUGAUCCAGCCAUGCCGCGUGGGUGAAGAAGGCCUUCGGGUUGUAAAGCCCUUUUGUCCGGGACGAAAUGAUCGGUGCUAAUACCACCGAUGGCUGACGGUACCGGAAGAAUAAGCACCGGCUAACUUCGUGCCAGCAGCCGCGGUAAUACGAAGGGUGCAAGCGUUACUCGGAAUUACUGGGCGUAAAGCGUGCGUAGGCGGUUUCUUAAGUCCGUUGUGAAAGCCCUGGGCUCAACCUGGGAAUGGCAGUGGAUACUGGGGAACUGGAGUGCGGUAGAGGAGGGUGGAAUUCCCGGUGUAGCGGUGAAAUGCGUAGAGAUCGGGAGGAACACCAGUGGCGAAGGCGGCCCUCUGGACCAGCACUGACGCUGAGGCACGAAAGCGUGGGGAGCAAACAGGAUUAGAUACCCUGGUAGUCCACGCCUUAAACGAUGCGAACUGGAUGUUGGGUGCGAUUAGGCACUCAGUGUCGAAGCUAACGCGUUAAGUUCGCCGCCUGGGGAGUACGGUCGCAAGACUGAAACUCAAAGGAAUUGACGG
rnacentral:rRNA from 1 species